rnacentral:lncRNA from 1 species
AUCCGGGUCAGAGUUCCAUGGGCUUGGCGCGAUUUUCAAAUUUCCCCCGGUGGUGCGGCACGUAAUUUUUUCGUCAACAAACGGGUGAUUGUGCCUGCAGACUAGUGGGGAGAAGUGCUCUGGCUGUUGUUGGGAAUGGGGAAGACGAGCCGGUGUGCAGAAAAAGCCAAGCCGUGCUUUUGGUUUUGGGGCCGUUGUCGUGCUGUGAGGCGGUCCGCUGCCGGUCUCGGUCCUUCUCCGGAACCUCUCGGCUGGUGGGAAGUGGUCGUUGCCUCGGGCCGCGCGGCGCCUCCGGGUUGCCGCCCGGCCCCCGUCUUCCGCUCUCUCCUCUUGGUGGCGUUGGGGUCGGCCCUUGGUUUUUUUUCCCCGGGUGGCGUUCCGCUCUGGGUCCUCCGCCGUCGCAGCCCCCGAGUGUUAUAGCCCCCCGGCAGUAGCUCUCGCCGCAUCCCGGGGUCGAGGAAGAUGACCGCCGCCGCGCUUUCCCCCGCCGGGCCCCUCCGCCGCCCGUCGCCGCCCCUCGCGGGUGGGGGCGGGUGCGCCGGUGCGGGCCCGGGUUCCCGGGGGACGGGCCGCCCCUCCCCCGGCGCGACUGCUCUCCCCGAAACCGGGGCGGACUGUCCUCAGUGCGCCCCGACCGCGUCGCGCCGCCGGGCUCGGGGACCGCUGCUCUCGUCGCACGAGGCUCGCACGAAAGCCACCCGUGGCGCAAUGAAGGUGAAGGCCGGCGCCCGCCGGCCGAGGUGGGAUCCCGAGGCCUCGCUCCUCGGGGGCUAG